rnacentral:rRNA from 1 species
GGGUUGUGAGGUUAAGCGAAUAAGCGUACACGGUGGAUGCCUAGGCAAUCAGAGGCGAUGAAGGACGUGCUAAUCUGCGAUAAGCGUCGGUAAGGUGAUAUGAACCGUUAUACCCGACGAUUUCCGAAUGGGGAAACCCAAUAUCCAAUGGAUAUUAUCAUUAACUGAAUACAUAGGUUAAUGAAGCGAACCGGGAGAACUGAAACAUCUCAGUACCCCGAGGAAAAGAAAUCAACCGAGAUUCCCCUAGUAGCGGCGAGCGAACGGGGAACAGCCCAGAGUCUUAAUCAAUAGCAGCAUCAGGAGAACGGUCUGGAAAGUCCGGCAGUAAAGGGUGAUAGCCCCGUAUCCGAAGAUGCUGUUAUUGUGAACUCGAUGAGUAGGGCGGGACACGUGUUAUCCUGUCUGAAUAUGGGGGGACCAUCCUCCAAGGCUAAAUACUCCUGAUUGACCGAUAGUGAACCAGUACCGUGAGGGAAAGGCGAAAAGAACCCCGGCGAGGGGAGUGAAAAAGAACCUGAAACCGUGUACGUACAAGCAGUAGGAGCCUCUUUAUGGGGUGACUGCGUACCUUUUGUAUAAUGGGUCAGCGACUUAUAUUCUGUAGCAAGGUUAACCGUAUAGGGGAGCCGUAGGGAAACCGAGUCUUAACUGGGCGAAUGAGUUGCAGGGUAUAGACCCGAAACCCGGUGAUCUAUCCAUGGGCAGGUUGAAGGUUGGGUAACACUAACUGGAGGACCGAACCGACUAAUGUUGAAAAAUUAGCGGAUGACUUGUGGAUGGGGGUGAAAGGCCAAUCAAACCGGGAGAUAGCUGGUUCUCCCCGAAAGCUAUUUAGGUAGCGCCUCGUGAAUUCAUCUUCGGGGGUAGAGCACUGUUUCGACUAGGGGGUCAUCCCGACUUACCAACUCGAUGCAAACUGCGAAUACCGAAGAAUGUUAUCACGGGAGACACACGGCGGGUGCUAACGUCCGUCGUGAAGAGGGAAACAACCCAGACCGCCAGCUAAGGUCCCAAAGUCAUGGUUAAGUGGGAAACGAAGUGGGAAGGCUCAGACAGCCAGGAUGUUGGCUUAGAAGCAGCCAUCAUUUAAAGAAAGCGUAAUAGCUCACUGGUCGAGUCGGCCCGCGCGGAAGAUGUAACGGGGCUAAACCAUGCACCGAAGCUGCGGCAGCGACACUAAGUGUUGUUGGGUAGGGGAGCGUUCUGUAAGCCUGCGAAGGUGUACUGUGAGGUAUGCUGGAGGUAUCAGAAGUGCGAAUGCUGACAUAAGUAACGAUAAUGCGGGUGAAAAACCCGCACGCCGGAAGACCAAGGGUUCCUGUCCAACGUUAAUCGGGGCAGGGUGAGUCGACCCCUAAGGCGAGGCUGAAAAGCGUAGUCGAUGGGAAACGGGUUAAUAUUCCCGUACUGGUGGUAACUGCGAUGGGGGAACGGAGAAGGCUAGGUUGUCCGGGCGACGGUCGUCCCGGUUCAAGCAUGUAGGCAGAGUGAUUAGGCAAAUCCGGUCACUUAAUGCUGAGGUGUGAUGACGAGCCACUAAGGUGGUGAAGCAAUUGAUGCCCUGCUUCCAGGAAAAGCCUCUAAGCUUCAGGUUACCAACAAUCGUACCCCAAACCGACACAGGUGGUCAGGUAGAGAAUACUCAGGCGCUUGAGAGAACUCGGGUGAAGGAACUAGGCAAAAUGGUGCCGUAACUUCGGGAGAAGGCACGCUGGCGGUAAGUGAAGUCCCUUGCGGACGGAGCCGAAGCCAGUCGAAGAUACCAGCUGGCUGCAACUGUUUAUUAAAAACACAGCACUGUGCAAACACGAAAGUGGACGUAUACGGUGUGACGCCUGCCCGGUGCUGGAAGGUUAAUUGAUGGGGUUAUCCUUAGGGAGAAGCUCUUGAUCGAAGCCCCAGUAAACGGCGGCCGUAACUAUAACGGUCCUAAGGUAGCGAAAUUCCUUGUCGGGUAAGUUCCGACCUGCACGAAUGGCGUAAUGAUGGCCAGGCUGUCUCCACCCGAGACUCAGUGAAAUUGAACUCGCUGUGAAGAUGCAGUGUACCCGCGGCAAGACGGAAAGACCCCGUGAACCUUUACUAUAGCUUGACACUGAACAUUGAGCCUUGAUGUGUAGGAUAGGUGGGAGACUAUGAAGUGUGGACGCCAGUCUGCAUGGAGUCAACCUUGAAAUACCACCCUUUAACGUUUGAUGUUCUAACCUAGGUCCAUAAUCUGGAUCGGGGACCGUGUCUGGUGGGUAGUUUGACUGGGGCGGUCUCCUCCUAAAGAGUAACGGAGGAGCACGAAGGUUGGCUAAGCAUGGUCGGACAUCAUGCGGUUAGUGCAAAGGCAUAAGCCAGCUUGACUGUGAGAGUGACGGCUCGAGCAGGUACGAAAGUAGGUCUUAGUGAUCCGGUGGUUCUGAAUGGAAGGGCCAUCGCUCAACGGAUAAAAGGUACUCCGGGGAUAACAGGCUGAUACCGCCCAAGAGUUCAUAUCGACGGCGGUGUUUGGCACCUCGAUGUCGGCUCAUCACAUCCUGGGGCUGAAGUAGGUCCCAAGGGUAUGGCUGUUCGCCAUUUAAAGUGGUACGCGAGCUGGGUUUAGAACGUCGUGAGACAGUUCGGUCCCUAUCUGCCGUGGGCGUUGGAAGAUUGAGAGGGGUUGCUCCUAGUACGAGAGGACCGGAGUGAACGCACCACUGGUGUUCGGGUUGUCAUGCCAAUGGCAUUGCCCGGUAGCUAAGUGCGGAAGAGAUAACCGCUGAAAGCAUCUAAGCGGGAAACUUGCCUCGAGAUGAGUCUUCCCUGUCACCUAGAGUGACCUAAAGGAACGUUUAAGACUAAGACGUUGAUAGGCUGGGUGUGUAAGCGUAGCGAUACGUUGAGCUAACCAGUACUAAUGAACCGUGAGGCUUAACCUGACAACACCGAAGGUGUUU